UACGUAGGCAGCGAGCGUUGUUCGGAGUUACUGGGCGUAAAGGGUGUGUAGGCGGUUUUCUAAGUUUGGUGUGAAAUCUCCCGGCUCAACCGGGAGGGUGCGCCGAAAACUGGGAGACUAGAGUGCGGGAUGGGAGAGUAGAAUUCCUGGUGUAGCGGUGAAAUGCGUAGAUAUCAGUAGGAACACCAAUGGCGAAGGCAGCUUGCUGGGCCGACCCUGACGCUAAGGCACGAAAGCGUGGGGAGCGAACAGG
rnacentral:rRNA from 1 species